rnacentral:lncRNA from 1 species
GUUUUAUCAUUUGGUAUCAGAGCGACGACCCUUGGCGUUCUCGCUGCAGCCACGAACGUCGAUCCUUCUCAACCGAGGAGGAACCUCCCCUUCUCCACCGCUGUGGCAGCCACCAUCGCUGCUGCCCCCUUGCUGCAGUUAUCUUCAUCUUAAGAAAAAAAAAAAAGAAAGAAAGGAAGAAAGAAAGAAAUUUUAACGAAGAGAGAGAAGAAAAGAAGCCGCAGCCACGCACCCCUGCUUCUCUCGCUUGCGGCCAGCACACCGCCGGCCGUCGCUGUUCUCCGGCCAGCGACCGACCCUGCCCCGCUUCCGGCCAGAGUCCACCGUGGCCGUCGCCUCCCACUCGAGUCACCACCGCUGCCAGGAGACGACGCUGCCAGCGUCCCACUCCGCCGAAGCCCUGCUCCUCUUCUCUACC